ACACGCAAACAACCUGCCUUCAGGAUGGGGACAACAGACGGAAACGACUGCUAAUACCGAAUAAGUUCCAAGAGCCGCAUGGCCCAUGGAAGAAAAGGUGGCCUCUACCUGUAAGCUAUCGCCUGAAGAGGGGUUUGCGUCUGAUUAGCUGGUUGGAGGGGUAACGGCCCACCAAGGCGACGAUCAGUAGCCGGUCUGAGAGGAUGAACGGCCACACUGGAACUGAGACACGGUCCAGACUCCUACGGGAGGCAGCAUG
rnacentral:rRNA from 1 species